GGUCCCGCCUGCCCUGUGACCCCCAGUUUAACGGCCGCGGUAUUUUGACCGUGCAAAGGUAGCGCAAUCACUUGUCCCUUAAAUGAGGACCUGUAUGAAUGGCACAACGAGGGCUUAACUGUCUCCUUUCCCCGGUCAAUGAAAUUGAUCUUCCCGUGCAGAAGCGGGAAUCCUAACAUAAGACGAGAAGACCCUAUGGAGCUUUAGACUCCAGAAUAGACCAUGUCAGCUACUCCCGUUAAACACAGUAGCAACUAUUGAGCCUCUAUUCUCUGUCUUUGGUUGGGGCGACCACGGGGAAGAAAAAAUCCCCCAUGUGGACCGGGAGCACCAAUCUCACUCCCACAACCACGAGCCACAGCUCUAAUGCGCAGAAUUUCUGACCAUAUAGAUCCGGCAACUAGCCGAUCAACGGACCGAGUUACCCUAGGGAUAACAGCGCAAUCCCCUUUAAGAGUCCCUAUCGACAAGGGGGUUUACGACCUCGAUGUUGGAUCAAGACAUCCUAAUGGUGCAGCCGCUAUUAAGGGUUCGUUUGUUCAACGAUUAAAGUCUU
rnacentral:rRNA from 1 species